rnacentral:rRNA from 1 species
GACGAACGCUGGCGGCGUGCUUAACACAUGCAAGUCGAACGAGAUCCAUUCAGUAGCAAUACUGAUGAAGAUCUAGUGGCGAACGGGUGCGUAACACGUGAGGAACUUGUCCCGGUCUCUGGGAUAACAGUUGGAAACGACUGCUAAUACCGGAUGACGUCGGAACUUCGCAUGGAGUACUGACGAAAGGGUUACUGGAUCGGGAGAGCCUCGCGGCCUAUCAGCUUGUUGGUGGGGUAAUGGCCUACCAAGGCAUCGACGGGUAGCUGGUCUGAGAGGAUGAUCAGCCACACUGGGACUGAGACACGGCCCAGACUCCUACGGGAGGCAGCAGUGGGGAAUCUUGCACAAUGGGCGAAAGCCUGAUGCAGCAACGCCGCGUGCGGGAAGAAGGCCCUCGGGUUGUAAACCGCUUUCAGAAGGAACGAAACUGACGGUACUUUCAGAAGAAGGUGCGGCCAACUACGUGCCAGCAGCCGCGGUGACACGUAGGCACCAAGCGUUGUCCGGAUUUAUUGGGCGUAAAGAGCUCGUAGGCGGUUCAGUAAGUCGGGUGUGAAAACUUUGGGCUUAACCCAAAGCGUGCAUCUGAUACUGCUGUGACUUGAGUUCGGUAGGGGAGCGGGGAAUUCCUAGUGUAGCGGUGAAAUGCGCAGAUAUUAGGAGGAACACCGGUGGCGAAGGCGCCGCUCUGGGCCGAAACUGACGCUGAGGAGCGAAAGCAUGGGUAGCAAACAGGAUUAGAUACCCUGGUAGUCCAUGCCGUAAACGUUGGGCACUAGGUGUGGGUUCCAACCAACGGAAUCCGCGCCGUCGCUAACGCAUUAAGUGCCCCGCCUGGGG